rnacentral:lncRNA from 1 species
CUCAAUCAACGGUUAUACAACUAAAAAUAUUUAUUACACAAAAGUCACCCUCACUCUGACUUCUAACCUUGUGACUUCAUAUCACCAACUUCUUGGUCCAAUCUCUCUACCAAUAGGUCAUAACACUGACACUUUAACUUAUACUACUACUCGGGUGGAAAUACAAUUCCAACAUUCUGCUACAUAUCAUUCCCCUUAUGCAUGACAUCUACAACAUAAAUUUUGAAAAGGAAUGAAUACACUUAAUACCUCAGGCUAAAAAGCACGACUUCAUCAGUAUCAAAGUUUACACUAAAAUCAAUACAUCUUGAAGCGCCAAUGGACUCCUCUCAAGUCCUUGUGCAAUCUCAUAAUCUUUUAUGACCCAAUCAGAAAAGGACCACAUCAUUUAGAUCCUAAGCUUCUACACUUGAAUCACCUCAAAAUGAGACAUGUCUAAGAACAUUAGAAUAAGGAAAGAAUUGGGAUAAUUUUACUUUCGUUUGGACAAUACCAUAGCACGAACUAGAGCAUGAAGAAAGAGAGACAUUCCUACACGCCUUGUAGCCUCCUGCUUAUAAGUAUGGCGCGCUACACACCCAUAAUCUACUCGAUUACAGACACCCUGGGAUCAUGAACCAUGCUUUGAUACCAAGUUUGUCAUAACCCGAGCUAGAGCCUUGGCCACGACGAGCAUCCCGAACCAUGAAGGCCCAAGCGCCCCUUUCUAUCUGUCAAUCAUGAAAACCAUUCAUACACAAUAAGGAGAAAAAUAGGAAAAGUAUUACAACAGAAUCAUGGUCAACUUUUAAUUUUAAACUACUAAAUACUGAAAUGAGUUCAUAAAGAUCAACAACAUCUAACACUAGUCUAGGAAAUCUCUAACAACUGAAGGACAUCUGCCUGACAGCUGGGACAAGGCCCCCAGUCGGACCAUGAAUAAAAAAUGAAAUAACAACAACAAGUUCUAAUACAGGCCUCUCGAAGUAAGGGAGGCUCACCAGUUGCAAACUUCUGACAAGUCAAUCUACUGCUUAACGGGACCCAAGGACUGUCUCAGAAUUCUGAAAUAUAGGGGGGGUCAAUACAAAUGUACUGGUAUGUGAAACAACUCAAAAUAAUAUUUUUACAAAAUAGAUGAGAGAAUUUUACAAUAAUGGUAAGCAUUAUAUAGUAAAAAAAACGUGGGCAUAUUUAAUAAUUUCAAAUCAAUUCUUGACUCACUCUUUGUUAUUCUUUGAGCUAGUCGGUACAUCCUACAAUUUUGAAAUUUCACGGGCUAUGUGGAACCCACCCUUGACUUGGAGACCGAGCCUCCAAUCUAAGUAGCCGCGAGGAUUUGGAGUUGGUGAUAACCCCAUGUGAGCAGACUACAGGAAUCCCUUCAUGUGGGAUGUCCUAAUUAUUUUAUUAUCCUCCCAUGUAGGAUACAAUAUCAUAAGACCGACAUCGGCAACUACGAUUUCCAGCGAUGAACCCUUACACUCAAAUGCCUUCUUCGAGUAACCUACUAGCUCUCUUAAGCCCAAUUUUUAGUUCUUUAAAACAAACAUGCUUUAUACUUUCAAAACAUUCAAUACUUAUCUUGUUAUGGGCACAUAAACACCGGGUAUCGUCAUACCAUGACUUGCAAAUCAAUAUCAUAUCCAUUCCACAAUCCAUCAUAUUCAAAACAUACGCAUGACCACCCACGGUUCAUAACAUCACAAUAAAAUCAUCACUUUGAAAUCGCAAGAACACUUAGGUAUUCCAACCUCUCUUUGCAAGAUUCAAAACAUGUGGUGGUCAUGUCAAUUUGUUUAAUCACAUGCAAUUCUUUCUCUUAAAGAAAGUACGUAGUUAUAACAAGAAAACUCCCUCUCAUCAUCUAUAAACCAUAUCAAACACCAUGAUAUUGAGAAGAUCACUUUCAAAUUCUAAAAACAUGUAUUUCAAAUCAUUCAUAGUGAGUAUAUAAGCUUUACUUUGCAACAAGAGAGGAAAGUCAUAUUCAUGCUCUCAAUAAAUCUUAAAAAUACAUGAAAUCAUAUAUACAUCUAGUCAUAAUUCAAUUUCCAUGAAAAGUGAUUCACGACAACAAUUGUUUACAUCAAAACAGUCCCACGAUGCAUAAUUUUCGAAAAUCAUAUCAAAACUUCAUACAAAUCAUAAUUGGGGAUCUUAAAUCUUGAUAAAAUAUUUAAACUUAUGCCCAAGAUUUUUAGAGUAGUCCCACAUACCUUAGAUUAUUAGAUCUGAAAAAUUAUGGUGAAUUCUUUGAGACUUGAAUCUUGGAUUGGAAUCCUAGUGCUUGUUCUUGAGAGAAAAUUUGAGAAGUGUGUAUAUUUUGGUGAAUUGGGG